rnacentral:lncRNA from 1 species
GGAGUAUGGGGUGAUGUCAGAAGAGGAUCAGACACAGGAUAGGGACCAGAGGGAGAAAAGAGUUGGAGGCACUACCCACAUGUGACACCACCUGUCCAAUUUUAUAGGUGUUAUCCCACAUAUGCCUGAGGACAUAUGUAGAAGUCCAUGCUAGAAUAAUCCCCAUUGUCAACGUGGGGAGACAGCCCCUGAGAGACACAGUGACUUAUCCAGGAUCAAGAACAGGGUGAAACUGUGUCCACAGUGAACAGGAAAGAGACCCGCAUCAGGGAGACAGGCCGAAAAAGCAGGUGGAGCGCCUGGUUACCGCCUUGCUGGGCACUGACCCCUCCUAUGUGCCCACCUUCCUGGGCACCUGCAGAGCUUUGCCACCACCCAACAUUGCUGGACCUGCUGUUCAAAGGUG